rnacentral:sRNA from 1 species
CCCACCUGAUCCGGGUUGAUGAAGUGGACGUGGGUGUCGAUGGCUCCUGCGGUGAGGAUCUUGUGCUCGCCGGAGAUCACGUCCGUCGCCACGCCCACAGGGAUCGUGACCCCGUCCUGGGUGGCAGGGUUCCCCGCCUUGCCGAUCGCGAAGAUGUGCCCGUCGCGCAGUGCGACGUCCGCCUUGACGAUGCCGGUGUGAUCGAGGAUGACGACGUUCGUGAUGACGGUGUCGGGGAUUCCCCCCGCGCGCACCAUCUGGCCGUUCUGACCCAUGCCGUCGCGGA